GACGAACGCUGGCGGCGUGCUUAACACAUGCAAGUCGAACGGAAAGGCCCUGCUUUUGUGGGGUGCUCGAGUGGCGAACGGGUGAGCAACACGUGAGUAACCUGCCCUUGACUUUGGGAUAACUUCAGGAAACUGGGGCUAAUACCGGAUAGGAGCUCCUGCUGCAUGGUGGGGGUUGGAAAGUUUCGGCGGUUGGGGAUGGACUCGCGGCUUAUCAGCUUGUUGGUGGGGUAGUGGCUUACCAAGGCUUUGACGGGUAGCCGGCCUGAGAGGGUGACCGGCCACAUUGGGACUGAGAUACGGCCCAGACUCCUACGGGAGGCAGCAGUGGGGAAUAUUGCACAAUGGGCGGAAGCCUGACGCAGCAACGCCGCGGGCGGGAUGACGGCCUUCGGGGUGUAAACCGCUUUCGCCUGUGACGAAGCGUGAGUGACGGUAAUGGGUAAAGAAGCACCGGCUAACUACGUG
rnacentral:rRNA from 1 species